UGAAAGCAAAGCUAAUCAGUAAAGGUAAGAUCUGGGCUGUUGGUUAUCAUUGUGUUUGAAACAUUAAUUAUAAAAGGAAAGCAGAAUUUGGGUUUCUUAGUUUCUUUAGUUGAUUCUUGGUCUGCUCAGGAUGAGUUCUAGUUUCUUCAGUUGAUUCUUAGUCUGCUCAGGAUGAGUUCUAGUUUCUUCUAUCGGUUCUUAUUCUGAACAAGAGUAGUAUAUGAUGUAUAGUAUAUUAGAUUAUUGGGAGUCCUGACAUGAUAGUCAGUUUCAACGAGUUCAGCUUGUUGGUUCAUCAAUUUCAUACAUGAAAUGGUUCUGGAUUUUGGAUCCGCAUUUUGUCAG
rnacentral:lncRNA from 1 species